rnacentral:rRNA from 1 species
UAAACUGGGAUUAGAUACCCCACUAUGCUCAGUCGUAAACCUUUACCUACACCCUCUCUCGCCUGGGAACUACGAGCCAAGCUUAAAACCCAAAGGACUUGACGGUACCCCAUAUCCACCUAGAGGAGCCUGUCCUGUAAUCGAUAACCCACGUUCAACCUCACCAUUUUUAGCCUACUCAGCCUGUAUACCUCCGUCGUCAGCUUACCACGUGAGCGUUAGUGAGCUUAAUGUAAUCCCACCACACGUCAGGUCAAGGUGCAACUUAUGAAAUGGGAAGAGAUGGGCUACACUCUCUAAUUUAGAGUAUACGAAAGACUACCAAUGAAAAUUUGUCAGAAGGCGGAUUUAGCAGUAAACAGAAAUCAAUACAUUCCGUUUAAUUCGGCACUGGGGUGUGUACACACCGCCCGUCACCCUCACCG